rnacentral:rRNA from 1 species
AGUGAACGCUGGCGGUAGGCCUAACACAUGCAAGUCGAACGGCAGCACAGUAAGAGCUUGCUCUUACGGGUGGCGAGUGGCGGACGGGUGAGGACUACAUCGGAAUCUACUUUUUCGUGGGGGAUAACGUAGGGAAACUUACGCUAAUACCGCAUACGACCUACGGGUGAAAGCAGGGGAUCUUCGGACCUUGCGCGAUUGAAUGAGCCGAUGUCGGAUUAGCUAGUUGGCGGGGUAAAGGCCCACCAAGGCGACGAUCCGUAGUUGGUCUGAGAGGAUGAUCAGCCACACUGGAACUGAGACACGGUCCAGACUCCUACGGGAGGCAGCAGUGGGGAAUAUUGGACAAUGGGCGCAAGCCUGAUCCAGCCAUACCGCGUGGGUGAAGAAGGCCUUCGGGUUGUAAAGCCCUUUUGUUGGGAAAGAAAAGCAGCAGGUUAAUACCCCGCUGUUCUGACGGUACCCAAAGAAUAAGCACCGGCUAACUUCGUG